GUUGCAGUUAAAAAGUCUCGUAGUUGAAUUUCUGGACUCGCCGAGAGNCGGCCUUUGGCCGACCACUCCGCAAGUUCAUCCUCGCCCUUCGGGGCGUCAUUUACUGUGAAAAAAUUAGAGUGUUUAAAGCAGGCUUUAGGCUUGAAUACAUUAGCAUGGAAUAAUGAGAUAGGACCAGGUCGUAUUUUGUUGGUUGCGCGAUUCGGUAAUGAUUAAUAGGGACAGUUGGGGGUAUUCAUAUUUAAUUGUCAGAGGUGAAAUUCUUAGAUUUAUUAAAGAUGAACUACUGCGAAAGCAUUUACCAAGGAUGUUUUCAUUAAUCAAGAACGAAAGUCAGGGGAUCGAAGAGGAUUAGAUACCCUCGUAGUCUUGACCAUAAACUAUGCCGACUCAGGAUUGGCACCCUUUUUUAACAGGGUGUCAGCACUGUAUGAAAAAUCAAAGUCUUUUGGGUUCCGGGGGGAGUAUGGUCGCAAGGCUGAAACU
rnacentral:rRNA from 1 species